CAAGUCGAGCGGAGAUGAUGUGAGAGUUUUCGAUGGAAUCACAUUAUUUAGCGGCGGACGGGUGAGUAACGCGUGAGCGACCACUUGCACGAGGGGAUAACGGACCGAAAGGUUCACUAAUACCGCAUGAGACCACGGUGUUGCAUGACACAGGGGUCAAAGGAGGAAUCCGGUGCAAGACGGGCUCGCGUCCGAUUAGGUAGUUGGAGGGGUAACGGCCCACCAAGCCUAUGAUCGGUAGCCGACCUGAGAGGGUGAUCGGCCACAUUGGAACUGAGAUACGGUCCAAACUCCUACGGGAGGCAGCAGUGGGGAAUAUUGGGCAAUGGGGGAAAAACCCCCUGACCCAGCAACGCCGCGUGAAGGAAGAAGGUUUUCGGAUUGUAAACUUCUGUCCUUGGUGAAGAGAAGAAGACGGUAGCCAAGGAGGAAGCCCCGGCUAACUACGUGCCAGCAGCCGC
rnacentral:rRNA from 1 species